CAAAGUUAAUGGUCAGUGAAAAUCGAAAAAUCGCGUCGCGUUGUCGAAUCGCGUCCGGUGUGAGUGGACCUUAAAGGCCUACACAGACCAAACGCGACUCGACAACGCGACGCGAAUUUUCAGUUUUUUUCAGAAAAUUCGCGUCGCGUAGCCAAUUCGCCUAAACAAUUUAGCCGCGCACUACACUGUCCACUCUUGGUGAAGCUCACCAAUGUAGCUCUAUACACACUACAAAAUCGCGUGUAAACUGUUUAACUCAUGGCUUAUACCAAACCUUGUUUGUUUAACACAAGCUUGUAUGUAUCCACUUUAUAUAAAUGCAUCACCAUAUAUCAGUGAUCACCAUGCAUUUAUAAUCAUUGUAAUGCAUGUAACGAACUGCACUGUAUAUGAAGAACUGGACCGUAUAUCAUGAACAAAUAUAAGUAAGUACGUAAGUAAGCAAGAAGUUUAUUUGCAUGGUGGAAUAUUUAGAUCUUCCUUAUUCCUCGUGUUUAAAUCGUAUAGCUCACUUAGAUAAGAUGGC